rnacentral:rRNA from 1 species
AGUGGCGGACGGGUGAGUAACGCGUGAGAAUCUGCCUUGGGGUCGGGGACAACCACUGGAAACGGUGGCUAAUACCGGAUACGCCUUCGGGUAAAAGAUUUAUUGCCCUAAGAGGAGCUCGCGUCUGAUUAGCUAGUUGGUGAGGUAAGAGCUCACCAAGGCAGCGAUCAGUAGCUGGUCUGAGAGGACGAUCAGCCACACUGGGACUGAGACACGGCCCAGACUCCUACGGGAGGCAGCAGUGGGGAAUUUUCCGCAAUGGGCGAAAGCCUGACGGAGCAAGACCGCGUGAGGGAGGAAGGCUCUUGGGUUGUAAACCUCUUUUCUCAGGGAAGAAGCUCUGAGGGUACCUGAGGAAUCAGCCUCGGCUAACUCCGUGCCAGCAGCCGCGGUAAUACGGAGGAGGCAAGCGUUAUCCGGAAUUAUUGGGCGUAAAGCGUCCGCAGGUGGCGAUUCAAGUCUGCUGUCAAAGCACGGGGCUUAACUCCGUAAAGGCAGUGGAAACUGAAUAGCUAGAGUGCCGUAGGGGUAGAGGGAAUUCCCGGUGUAGCGGUGAAAUGCGUAGAGAUCGGGAAGAACAUCGGUGGCGAAAGCGCUCUACUGGACGGCAACUGACACUCAGGGACGAAAAGCUAGGGGAGCGAAUGGGAUUAGAUACCCC